rnacentral:rRNA from 1 species
GACGAACGCUGGCGGCGUGCUUAACACAUGCAAGUCGAACGGAAAGGCCCUGCUUUUGUGGGGUGCUCGAGUGGCGAACGGGUGAGUAACACGUGAGUAACCUGCCCUUGACUUUGGGAUAACUUCAGGAAACUGGGGCUAAUACCGGAUAGGAGCUCCUGCUGCAUGGUGGGGGUUGGAAAGUUUCGGCGGUUGGGGAUGGACUCGCGGCUUAUCAGCUUGUUGGUGGGGUAGUGGCUUACCAAGGCUUUGACGGGUAGCCGGCCUGAGAGGGUGACCGGGCACAUUGGGACUGAGAUACGGCCCAGACGCCUACGGGAGGCAGCAGUGGGGAAUAUUGCACAAUGGGCGGAAGCCUGAUGCAGAAACGCCGCGUGCGGGAUGACGGCCUUCGGGUUGUAAACCGCUUUCGCCUGUGACGAAGCGUGAGUGACGGUAAUGGGUAAAGAAGCACCGGCUAACUACGUG